UGGAAUCCAGCCAGGUAAAACUAUUGAACUUGUCGUUCCUCUCUGCUCUCUGUUAAGAACAAGAGGUUCGGCCAAAGUACAGCAUAUUAGAUGGUGUAAAGUUCCUGUCUAUCAGUAAUAAACAAUGUGGAUGUAUCAUGUGCAGCACAUAAUGACAGUUGUGAGGUAGGUCUUUUGUGGCAGACAGAAACUGAUCGGCUUCUUUAAAAGAAUAUGUAGUCGGACAAAAUGGCGGCAUUACCCUUCAUGGUUAGAAACAGACAUGACAAUUCCGCUCUUAGCGUCACUUAUAAUGAGGACAGACAGACGUUUAGUGUAGCUUAUCAUUGUACAAAACCAGCGAAGGAGUGUCUGAUGGCCGUGUUCACCUUAAAUUUGAAAGAGACGUCCCCCGAGGGUGAAGUAAAAUACACACCUUGGCUGAUAACUUCACCUUUCCUGCAGGCAAAGUUUAAACUACCUCUAGCUCCGUACCUUUUCUCUCCUGAGAUUCGUGUUGCGCCUGCGCCAUGUACAUGUGAUGUUCUGGUUACCGGUAAGAACACUGCCCAGUGUGUCGUGAGGGUUCAUUUUACUAGAAGAUCAGGAGUAGCAGAUUUCCCGUAUAUCGGCGUCGGCGAGCCUCACGAUAUCGUGGAGCUUGUCGGCCUCGGGCCCAAAAUGGCUGCUAUCUGUUUGUACAACAGAGCCUUGGAGUUUCAUAGAAAGCGAGUGUGGCGGUCCAUGGAGCUGGCAACGCGUUUGUAUCGGAACAAAACGAAGGAGUAUUUUGGUGACAUAUUCCUAAAUCACUGUGGAGUUAUGCGCCCCUACCUAAAAGACAACACUGGCGACCCAAAGUGUCCUAUUACCAACAGACUUAAGGGGCUGUUUUUCUCUACAACUGUAAUGGGCUCACCACAGUUCCGUUCGCCCUUUGGGCCUCAUCGAUUUCUGGUGCCGCUGAUAGCGUUACUGCAAAAUAUGGGCUCGUGGAAAUUCUAUUUUGCAGAUUUCUAUUGUUUUGACAAAGAAAUAAGGGCUCAUCAUGUAAAUCUUGUCCUGUGUGAAAAAGACACAGAUGCUUAUAAAAUGUGCGAAGAGUGUUUACUGGCGUUACCUUUAGAAAAUCCUUUCUUGCAAGUGGCAGCCGAUCAUUCUAAAUAUCUUGUCAAUUCUCACAUCAAGGUAGAAGUAAUUUAUACCAAAGAGAUUGAUAUCGUCAGAAUGUGCCGGGAUAUGGGGGCAGAAAUGCAAACUGUGCCAUCGUACGGGACCUCAGACCCACGAGGAAUUCCCAAGAAUCCAAAAUGUCUGAACUGCAAUAUAGCGUCAUUUGAACCAUGGGAACUCUUCAACAACAAAACAAAACUAUAUUCACAAAUACGGAUAUUAGGGAGGUUUCGCAAGUCGACGGAUACGGUUACGCGAACGGCUACGUCAUCACUUUAUGUGGCCACGUGACGAGUAUUCGUCUGCCACAUCCCAUACGAGUGCGUGAGACACGGACAUCGGCUGUCAUACACUUCUAGAGUCAGGAUGGAGAGCUCAACAUCAAGUUCAAGUUCAAGCACGCCGCCACUUCGUUUUUAUCCAGAGUAUACAGAGAGGGAUGUGCUGUUGACAGAUGUGGAUGAGAUGGAGAGAGAGGCUGCAAAAUGUAAAGAAGAGAAGAAAGGGGCCCAAUCUGCAGCAAAGCAGAAAGAAGAACAAGGCAAGGAAAUUAGAGAAGCUGCAAUGCAGUCCCUCAAAAGAUCAGGUGAGAACGCAGGCCAGGAUGAUGCAGCCAGUCCAAAGAAGAGAAGAAGUGGCAGAGCUGACUUUACAACAUACUUUGAGAUGCUACGUGAAAAAAAUAACAAAGAUGCUGAGUUGAAGGCCAAGCAGUUAGAGCUGGAGAAAGAGAAAUUUGACUUGGAGAGAAGAGAAAGAGAAUUCAGGAUGGAGCGUGAUUCCCUUAUGAUGGACUUAAUUCGCCAAUUGAUUGACAAGAAAAAUAAUGAGUCAUAAUCAUAAUUCAUAAUCAGGGGGAUAUUCAUUAAUGUCUGAAUCAAUAAUUUAUUUCUGUGUUCAACUUAUUUACUAAUAAUUCUGUAAGAGAUUAUAUGCCUGGAAUAUCAAUAUUGUAUAUAUAUAUAUAUAAGCAUGCAUGUAUAAACAAAUAUCCAUAGCAAUCCUCUUUACUUUGUACAUUACACAUGUACAUUAUAAAAUUUUAAUUUAAAUUUUUAUAUCAGAUCACAUUGCAAACAAUCUUGACUAAAUGUGGAGUUUAAACUUUGAAUGAAUUUAUAAUUUUCUCCAUCUUUUGACUUAAAGGAGAUGAAAGCACCUAUAUAAAGGAUCUCAUGUGAAAGAGAAUUUCAUGCUGAUUCCAAAUAUGCCCUUCAUUGUUUUUUUUACAACGAGUUAUUAACGAAUGAAGUUUGAAUUAAUAUACUUUAAUGUGUACCUUUCAGACCAUACACAAUUUUUGGACAUUCGUGACGUCAAACUUGACUUUUAAGCUCCUGGAAAUGGUCAUUAUGACUAUAAAUAUUGCAUUCAAAAUUGCCAAAAUACAUGUACAUUGUUGUAGAUUGUUAAAAUAUAACCAGUUUUUGUGCAACUUGUGUUCAGCAAGUUGUGCGAAUACCCCAAAAUUGUGUAUGGUCCCAAACAUACACCCUAUUAUGUCAAACUUCAUUCGUUAAUAACUCGUUAUAAAAAAAAUGUAAACAAAUACUGAAAGGCAUAUUUGGAAUUAGCAUGGAAUUCUCUAUCACAUGAGGUCCACUUUAUAUAGUUGCUUAUUCUUGUCCUUUAAGAAACAAAAACUGAAAAUUCUGAGACAUUUCUGUUCUAAAUUAUAAUAAGUAUUAAGUAUAUUUCAUGAAUGUUCUGUUGAAUUUUGAAGGCUUCGGGGAAAUGUGUUCAACUGAUUAUUCUGUGCUCUGGUCUGGUGGAAACUCCAUAAGAAACUGAAUAAAAAUGGAGUCAAAAAUGUUUCAACUUUUAACAAAUUAAUUUAUUGUUUGUGUUAUCUUAUGUAGGCCUAUGGUUUCCAGUAUUAGCAUGCAUAUAUACAUGUAUAAGCAUCAGGCAAGGUAUUCCUCUAGUGUUGGGGGCUCCAGUCUGAAGUAAUAGCUGGUUUGAUUCCUCUUCAGACAGGUGUGACAAUUGGUAAGCAACGCACCCACCAAAUAAUAUUUUGCAACUGGCUGUAGUAGGACUUUCAGGUUUUUUCUAAAAUCUAGAAAGGCAAACAAAGAGAGGACUUUUCCAAAUUCCCAUUCCACAGACUCCCUAACUGUAGACAUCAAAUAGUUGAAAUUGUGUUGAUCUGGAUUAAGAUUUGCCCCCUUGAAUGGACAGAUUAGAUAGUUCCUAAUCGGAUAUGCUGGGUCACCAUAUAAAGCAAACGAUAGUCCAUUGUUGUCGGUCUGUCCCGCAUGCUCUAACCCAUCCAUAAUUCCACUCUCACGAAGGAGCGCGCAGUCAUGCCUCCGACCCUCCACCGGACCGAACAUGUUGGCAAUCAUUCCAUCAGGCACGACAACUGAUUGAAAUUUCAGGGAAUGUAUUCUCUUGUGACCAUUAUAACAAACUCUCUGGUUACGAGUAGGCCUGCAAAUCGGACGAACUG